UAGGGAAUAUUAGUAAUGGGCGAAAGCCUGAACUAGCAACGCCGCGUGUGCGAAGAAGGCCUUCGGGUUGUAAAGCACUUUUUGAGAGGAUGAGGAAGGACGGUACUCUCAGAAUAAGUCUCGGCUAGCUACGUGCCAGCAGCCGCGGUAACACGUAGGAGGCGAACGUUAUCCGGAUUUACUGGGCGUAAAGCGCGUGUAGGUGGUUUGGUAAGUAGGGCGUGAAAGCUCCUGGCUCAACUGAGAGAGGCCGUUCUAAACUGCCGAACUAGAGGAUGGGAGAGGGGGGGGGAAUUCCGGGUGUAGCGGUGGAAUGCGCAGAUAUCCGGAGGAACACCAGUGGCGAAAGCGGCCUCCUGGACCAUUCCUGACACUCAGACGCGAAAGCUAGGGUAGCAAACGG
rnacentral:rRNA from 1 species